rnacentral:rRNA from 1 species
AGCAGCCGCGGUAAUUCCAGCUCCAAUAGCGUAUAUUAAAGUUGUUGCAGUUAAAAAGCUCGUAGUUGAACUUCGGGGUUUACCCAUUGGUCAGGCUUAAUUGUCUGCACUGGUGAGAUGAAUCUCUACCUUCUGAGGAACUUUCAUGCCAUUUAUUUGGUGUGAUGGGAAAUCAGGACUGUUACUUUGAAAAAUUAGAGUGUUUAAAGCAGGCUAACGUCUGAAUACAUUAGCAUGGAAUAAUGAAAUAGGACGGACUGAUUCUAUUUCGUUGGUUUCUAGGAUCACCGUAAUGAUUAAUAGGGACAGUUGGGGGCAUUAGUAUUCAAUUGUCAGAGGCGAAAUUCUUGGAUUUAUUGAAGACUAACUACUGCGAAAGCAUUUGCCAAGGACGUUUUCAUUAAUCAAGAACGAAAGUUAGGGGAUCGAAGACGAUCAGAUACCGUCGUAGUCUUAACCAUAAACUAUGCCGACUAGGAAUCGGGCGAUGUUAAUUUUUAAUGACUCGAUUGGCACCUUACG